rnacentral:piRNA from 1 species
GGGCUGGAGAGAUGGCU